rnacentral:lncRNA from 1 species
CUUCACUUUGGCUCACUUGAGACCCAGCAUGACUCUCUCACCUCUCACUGUGCUAUGGCUUUGAGCAGCAGCUUCCUCUGUUAGCGCCGCUUUUGGUCAAUGACUCUGAAUUCCAGAGAGAGAAACGAUUUGAUUGGUCAGGCUGGUUUUCCCUGUGAAUGGAAGAUGACAGGGCAUUGGCUGGCUCCAGGAUUUGCUGCCUUAGUCAAUCAAGCAUGUCUCUUGGCGUUGUCCACUUCUUCAGGUCCUAUGGGAGAGGAAUUUCUUUACAAAGAUGGUGUUAGGCCAGGCACAGUGGCUCACGCCUAUAAUCCCAGCACUCAGGGAGGCUGAGGCAGGCAGAUCACCAGAUCAGGAGUUCGAGACCAGCCUGGCCAACAUAGUGAAACCCUGUCUCUACUAAAAAUACAAAAAUUAGCCGGGUGUGAUGGCGUGUGCCUGUAGUCUCAGCUACUCGGGAGGCUGAGGCAGGAGAAUCACUUGAAUCCUGGUGGCGGAGGUUGCAGUGAGUCAAGAUGGCACCAAUGCACUCUCAGCUUGGGUGACAGAGAGAGACUCUGUCUAAAAAAAAAAAAAAAAAAGAAAAAAGAAAAAGAAAAUAUGGUGUUGGUGGCAUGCCAGGCACUGUGAUCAAUGGGUCUUCUAUAUUGUUUAUGCAGAAAAGACCACUUUUUUAAUGAAAGCGCAUUGACACGGCAGGCAGUUACAGCUAAAUGAAUUUUUAGGUCAGCAAUCUAACAUGGAUCUUUGGACCAAUUUAUCUGGGAGGGGAAGCCUGUCACCAAUGGGCAGUUUAUUUCAAAAUAUGAGAAGAGGGCUCAAAGAAGUCAGAAAAAGAAUCUUAUUUUUGUUCCUUUAGGUUAUAGCAUAAAGAGAAAUGGUCAGGAAUUUAAUCAUGGUUACUUCCCCUUCUAGGACUACACAUUUAUUUUCGUAAAGUAUAUGAAAUAUAGUUUUUACUCUGGUAAGUGAUUUUGAAGUGUUGUCUUGGGGGAACCACUAAAGAAAAUAUACUUUGACCUUAUCUUAGCUUGGUGCAUCUCUCCACUGAUUAUCAAGUUGUGGCUCCAGAAAUUUCAGACAGAGUUGGCCUAAUUGGGGAUACUGCGCAUGAAAAUGAAUUGCACAGCUGGGACCCUCAAAACUGCCUUGGCUAAUUAACAGGAAGUAGCUUUGAACUAUUUGCUGUAUUGGGCAUUGUGGUAGUUACUAAAUGAUUGGAUCAAGUCCAAACCAGCUAGAAGGACCCAAGAGUUUGAGGACAUGUUUCCCAGAUACUAUGAAGAGACAGAGGACAGAGGCUCUUGCUAUUCCAAGCAUAGAAAACUUUCUUUUCUUUACUUUUAUUUUUUGGUAGUAGCACAUGUGCAAUCCUGUGGGGUGGGCAGGGCAUUUAAAAAAAAACAAACAUUUAUUUUUGGGAAGACCACUUGGAUUAUAUAUUCUUGACUUCAGCUAAGAAAGAUUGGAUAAAACAUUAAACACGUUGAAGAUAUAAAGUCUUUUGUUUUCCUCUCAUCCUCUUUUUGUCUAUCUCUUGUCUCUUUUUAAAUUCUAGGCUUGGAUUAUAGUUCUCAUUGUGCCAUUUCUUGGCUUGUCAAUUGGCUUCUGUAAAUCUUCAUUUUUUUUCAUCUAUAGGUCUAUUCACA